CUUCCGAAAGGAAGAUUAAUACCGCAUAAUGUUGAAAGAUGGCAUCAUCAUUCAACCAAAGGAGCAAUCCGCUAUGAGAUGGACCCGCGGCGCAUUAGCUAGUUGGUGGGGUAACGGCCUACCAAGGCGACGAUGCGUAGCCGACCUGAGAGGGUGAUCGGCCACAUUGGGACUGAGACACGGCCCAGACUCCUACGGGAGGCAGCAGUGGGGAAUAUUGCACAAUGGGGGAAACCCUGAUGCAGCAACGCCGCGUGAGUGAUGACGGUCUUCGGAUUGUAAAGCUCUGUCUUUGGGGACGAUAAUGACGGUACCCAAGGAGGAAGCCACGGCUAACUACGUGCCAGCAGCCGCGGUAAUACGUAGGUGGCGAGCGUUGUCCGGAUUUACUGGGCGUAAAGGGAGCGUAGGCGGAUUCUUAAGUGGGAUGUGAAAUACCCGGGCUUAACCUGGGUGCUGCAUUCCAAACUGGGAAUCUAGAGUGCAGGAGGGGAGAGUGGAAUUCCUAGUGUAGCGGUGAAAUGCGUAGA
rnacentral:rRNA from 1 species